GAUGAACGCUGGCGGCGUGCCUAAUACAUGCAAGUCGAGCGAAUGGAUUAAGAGCUUGCUCUUAUGAAGUUAGCGGCGGACGGGUGAGUAACACGUGGGUAACCUGCCCAUAAGACUGGGAUAACUCCGGGAAACCGGGGCUAAUACCGGAUAACAUUUUGAACCGCAUGGUUCGAAAUUGAAAGGCGGCUUCGGCUGUCACUUAGGGAUGGACCCGCGUGGCAUUAGCUAGUUGGUGAGGUAACGGCUCACCAAGGCAACGAGGCGUAGCCGACCUGAGAGGGUGAUCGGCCACACUGGGACUGAGACACGGCCCAGACUCCUACGGGAGGCAGCAGUAGGGAAUCUUCCGCAAUGGACGAAAGUCUGACGGAGCAACGCCGCGUGAGUGAUGAAGGCUUUCGGGUCGUAAAACUCUGUUGUUAGGGAAGAACAAGUGCUAGUUGAAUAAGCUGGCACCUUGACGGUACCUAACCAGAAAGCCACGGCUAACUACGUGCCAGCCGCCGCCGUAA
rnacentral:rRNA from 1 species